rnacentral:rRNA from 1 species
CGAUCUUUAACUGGUUUGAGAGGAUGAUCAGUCAGACUGGAACUGAGACACGGUCCAGACUCCUACGGGAGGCAGCAGUGAGGAAUCUUCCACAAUGGGCGAAAGCCUGAUGGAGCAACGCCGCGUGCAGGAUGAAGGCCUUCGGGUUGUAAACUGCUUUUAUAAGUGAGGAAUAUGACAGUAACUUAUGAAUAAGGAUCGGCUAACUACGUGCCAGCAGCCGCGGUCAUACGUAGGAUCCGAGCGUUAUCCGGAGUGACUGGGCGUAAAGAGUUGCGUAGGUGGUUCGAUAAGCGAAUAGUGAAAUCUGGUGGCUCAACCAUUCAGACUAUUAUUCGAACUGUUGAACUCGAGAGCAGAAGAGGUAGCUGGAAUUUCUAGUGUAGGAGUGAAAUCCGUAGAUAUUAGAAGGAACACCGAUGGCGUAGGCAGGCUACUGGGCUGUUUCUGACACUGAGGCACGAAAGCGUGGGGAGCGAACCGGAUUAGAUACCCGGGUAGUCCACGCCGUAAACGAUGGAUACUAGCUGUUUGGGGUAUCGACCCCCUGAGUAGCGAAGCUAACGCGUUAAGUAUCCCGCCUGUGGAGUACGAUCGCAAGAUUAAAACAUAAAGGAAUUGACGGGGACCCGCACAAGCGGUGGAUCAUGUUCUUUAAUUCGAUGAUAACCGAUAAACCUUACCAGGUCUUGACAUCCUUGGAAUCUUUCAGAAAUGAGAGAGUGCUUUUUUAAGAGCCAAGUGACAGGUGAUGCAUGGCCGUCGUCAGCUCGUGUCGUGAGAUGUUUGGUUAAGUCCAUCAACGAGCGCAACCCUUGUCAGUAGUUGUAUUUUUCUACUGAGACUGCCCCGGCAACGGGGAGGAAGGAGGGGAUGACGUCAGGUCAGUAUUUCCCUUACGUCCUGGGCUAGAAACGUGAUACAAUGGCUAGUACAAUGCGCAGCGAAGCCGCGAGGUGAAGCAAAUCGCAUCAAAGCUAGUCCCAGUUCGGAUUGUAGGCUGAAACUCGCCUGCAU